UACGUAGGGUGCGAGCGUUAAUCGGAAUUACUGGGCAUAAAGCGCGCGCAGGCGGUCUGUUAAGACCGAUGUGAAAUCCCCGGGCUUAACCUGGGAACUGCAUUGGUGACUGGCAGGCUUUGAGUGUGGCAGAGGGAGGUAGAAUUCCACGUGUAGCAGUGAAAUGCGCAGAGAUGUGGAGGAAUACCGAUGGCGAAGGCAGCCUCCUGGGCCAACACUGACGCUCAUGCACGAAAGCGUGGGGAGCAAACAGG
rnacentral:rRNA from 1 species